CCUACGGGUGGCAGCAGUGGGGAAUAUUGCACAAUGGGGGAAACCCUGAUGCAGCGACGCCGCGUGAGUGAAGAAGUAUUUCGGUAUGUAAAGCUCUAUCAGCAGGGGAGAAAAUUACGGUACGUGAGCAAGAAGGCGCGGAUAACUACGUGACAGAAGCCGCGGCAAUGCGUAGGGAGCAAGCGUUAUCCGGAUUUACUGGGUGUCAAGGGGGCGUAGACGGCAGCACAAGUCUGGAGUGAAAUGCCGGGGCUUAACCCCGGACCUGCGUUGGAAACUGUGUAGCUAGAGUGCAGGAGAGGUAAGUGGAAUUCCUAGUGUAGCGGUGACAUGCGUAGAUAUUAGGCGGAACACCAGUGGCGAAGGCGGCUUACUGGACUGUAUCUGACGUUGAGGCUCGAACGCGUGGGGAGCAAACAGGAUUAGAUACCCUUGUAGUC
rnacentral:rRNA from 1 species